rnacentral:rRNA from 1 species
CAGUCGAGGGGCAGCAUGGUCUUAGCUUGCUAAGGCCGAUGGCGACCGGCGCACGGGUGAGUAACACGUAUCCAACCUGCCGUCUACUCUUGGACAGCCUUCUGAAAGGAAGAUUAAUACAAGAUGGCAUCAUGAGUUCACAUGUUCACAUGAUUAAAGGUAUUCCGGUAGACGAUGGGGAUGCGUUCCAUUAGAUAGUAGGCGGGGUAACGGCCCACCUAGUCUUCGACGGAUAGGGGUUCUGAGAGGAAGGUCCCCCACAUUGGAACUGAGACACGGUCCAAACUCCUACGGGAGGCAGCAGUGAGGAAUAUUGGUCAAUGGGCGAGAGCCUGAACCAGCCAAGUAGCGUGAAGGAUGACUGCCCUAUGGGUUGUAAACUUCUUUUAUAAAGGAAUAAAGUCGGGUAUGGAUACCCGUUUGCAUGUACUUUAUGAAUAAGGAUCGGCUAACUCCGUGCCAGCAGCCGCGGUAAUACGGAGGAUCCGAGCGUUAUCCGGAUUUAUUGGGUUUAAAGGGAGCGUAGAUGGAUGUUUAAGUCAGUUGUGAAAGUUUGCGGCUCAACCGUAAAAUUGCAGUUGAUACUGGAUAUCUUGAGUGCAGUUGAGGCAGGCGGAAUUCGUGGUGUAGCGGUGAAAUGCUUAGAUAUCACGAAGAACUCCGAUUGCGAAGGCAGCCUGCUAAGCUGCAACUGACAU